ensembl:miRNA
AAAAAUGCCUCCAUGAGAUCCAGCUGUAAGGCAUUUUCUCAAUUAGUGAUCAAUGGAGGAGGGACGAGCCCAUUGUGGGUGGGGCCAUCCCUGGCCUGGUGGUCCUG